GUGACGCUUGCCCUGAACACCUCCGCGGCUGCAGCAGCCGCCGACAUAGUGUACCUGGCUCAUAAUGGGAAUGCAACCACAAACUGGUUCGCUAUCUGCCUACAGUUUGGUGACUUCUGCCGGAAAGUGAGUGGGGCUGUGGUGGCAUCGUUCGCUUCAGCUGUGGCUUUCAUGUUGUUAGUUGUGAUGUCUGGUCUGGCUCUCAGAAGGA
rnacentral:misc_RNA from 1 species